rnacentral:tRNA from 1 species
GAGGGUAUAGCUCAGUGGUAGAGCACAUGCUUAGCAUGCACAAGGUCCUGGGUUCAGUCCCCAGCACCUCCA